rnacentral:rRNA from 1 species
GACGAACGAGGGCGGAGGGAAGCAUAGAGGCAAGUAGAAAGGUGAAGGAGGAGCUUGCUUCUCUGGAUGAGUUGCGAACGGGUGAGUAACGCGUAGGUAACCUGCCUGGUAGCGGGGGAUAACUAUUGGAAACGAUAGCUAAUACCGCAUAAUAGCAGUUGUUGCAUGACAACUGUUUGAAAGGUGCAAUUGCACCACUACCAGAUGGACCUGCGUUGUAUUAGCUAGUUGGUGGGGUAACGGCUCACCAAGGCGUCGAUACAUAGCCGACCUGAGAGGGUGAUGCGCCACACUGGGACUGAGACACGGCCCAGACUCCUACGGGAGGGAGCAGUAGGGAAUCGUCGGCAAUGGACGGAAGUCUGACCGCGCAACGCCGCGUGAGUGAAGAGGGUUUUCGGAUCGUAAAUCUCUUGUUGAAGAGAAGAACGAGUGUGAGAGUGGAAAGUUCACACUGUGACGGUAUCUUACCAGAAAGGGCCUGCUCCCUACGUC